rnacentral:lncRNA from 10 species
GCUUUGUUUGUUUGCUUUGUGCAAUAAAUCUUGGUGCUGCUCAUUUUUUGGAUCCAGACUUCCUUUAUGAGCUGUAACACUCACUGGGAAGGUUUGCAGCUUCACUUCUGAAGCCAGCGAGACCACGAACCCAUUGGGAGGAACUAACAACUCCAAACAUGUAGGCUUAAGACCUGUAAGCUCACCGCGAAGGUCUGCAGCUUCACUACUAAGCCAGGGAGAUGACGAAUCCACCAAAAGGAAGAAACUCCAAAUACAUCCGAACAUCAGAAGGAACAAACUGCGGACACACCACCUUUAAGAACUGUAAUACUCACCGCGAGCGUCCGCGGCUUCAUUCUUGAAGUCAGUGAGACCAAGAACCCACCAAUACUGGACACAGUUUGGCUGUGUCCCUACCUAAAUCUCACCUUGAAGUGUAAUAAUCUCCAUGUGUCAAGGGCCAAGCCAGGUGGGGAUAAUUGAAUCAUGGGGGCGGUUUCCCACAUAGUGUUCACCUGGUACUGAAUAUGUCCAAUGAGAUCUGAUGGUUUUAUCAAGGGCAGUUCCCCUGCACAAGCUCUCUUGCCUGGCGCCCUGUACGACAUGCCUUUGCUCCUCCUCUGCCUUCCACCAUGAUUGUGAGGCUUCCCGAGCCAUGUGGAACGGUUCACAGAACCACAGAUGUUAGAGCUGGCGAUGACCUCAGAAUACAGCCAGGCUUUUGACAAAAGAGGACACUGCUUCCCAGAGAAGAAAGGGACCAGCCCAAAGAUGCACUGCCAGGUGGCUAUCACAGGGAUUCUGAGGGCCACUCAAGGUCAAAGUAGAAGUGAUUUCUCUUGAGACCUUAAAAGAAUAUAUGUAAAU